AGAAUGUGGUUAGAAAUUUUAAAACAAUACUAAAGAUUAUAUGCUUAGUAUAUAAAACAUUUAUCAAAAACUAAAUAUUUUCGUAGGGGUUAACACAUAGAUUUUGACAAAAUUUCAAAAAAUAUGAAAAUAUUGUUUUAAUGCAUAGUCGCAUCCUGCACUAACAUAUGAUGAUGUUCAAAGAGGUUUGUAGCCUUUGUUGUCCCCGUUUUUCAGGAAAAUAGUGAUUUUAUAGUGGUUAUUUCAUCGAUUUAGGGAAUAUUAUGAAGUUUGACUAAAUUAAUUGAUAAAAGAAUUAUAACGAUUCCCAUUUACCAUGAAAAAAACUUAAAAUACCUUAAUACAAAUGUAGAAUGUAGUUAGAAAUUUUAAAACAAUACUUAAGAUUAUAUGCGUAGUAUAUAAAAUAUUUAGCAAAAACUCAAUAUUUCCGUAGGGGGUAACACAUUGAUUUUGACAAAAUUUAAAAAAAUAUAAAAAUAUUGUUUUAAUGCAUAGUUGCAUCCUGCACUAACAUAUGAUGAUGUUCAAAGAGGUUUGAAGUCUUUGUUGUCCCCGUUUUAAAGGAAAAUAGUGAUUUUAUAGUGGUUAUUCCAUCGAUUUAGGGAAUAUUAUGAAGUUUGACUAAAUUAAUUGAUAAAAGAAUUAUAACGAUUCCCAUAUACCAUGAAAAAACUUAAAAUACCUUAAUAUAAAUGUAGAAUGUGGUUAGAAAUUUUAAAACAACACUAAAGAUUAUAUGCGUAGA